GGCCCAGCGGGCCCCUAGCCUGCCUCCCCUGCCCGCUGUGCUGUCCACACCAAGAAAUCGGGAGGGAGCCUGCCUCCCUGCCCCUGCCCCAACUCUCCCACCCAGGCCCAUCUCCCUCAGUACAAUUCAGAAACAUCCCCCUUUCUGCUGUAACCUCUGCCUGAAUUCUUGUAUAAUUCUACCAUCAGAAAAGAAAUUAUACUGGCAACUGUAAGAGCAACAAUAAAAGCAGUGAAAAUGGCAGCCAGGACAGGAGCCACCAACCAAGCAUUCUACUUGGCAAUGUGAUUGACACUGAGUAGUUCAUCAUCUUUCACCACAGUCCUGUGAGACAGAAGACAUUAUCUUAGCCAAGGACGGAUGCCUGCAGAGGUUAACGAACAUAGUCACUUUGGUAAUGAAUGGAUGAACUGCAGUCUGGUGGAAACCCAAUCAUCAUCUAGCCACUGUUGUGUCCUAGAGAAUGCUAACCAGCUGGGCUUCCAUCAGCCCAGUGUUUCCUGAACAAGACCUUGCCCAGGCUGAUACAUUCAUGACCAGGUUAGGGCCAGGGCAUGGGUCCUGUGAUUUGCAGUGUGUGUAACAUUCCUUUUUUAAAAAUGUAUUUAUUUAUAUUUUAUGUACAUAGGUGUCUUGCCUGCACAUAUGUCCAUGCAUGUAUGUGCACACAGGGGUGUCAGAUCCCCUGGAACAGGAGCUACAGAUGGUUGUGAGCUGCCGUGGGGUGCUGGGAAUUGAGCCCCCAUCCUCUGGAACUGCAGCCAGUGCUCUUAACCCCUGAGCCAUCUCUCUAAUCCCUGUGUACUACAACGUUCUUAAGUGGUUUCAACCACAUUGCAGGAACAUGCUUAUGGCCUCACUGAGACCUAAGCGGUUUUACUUUAAGGACCCCUGUCUCCAUAUUACUAAAAAUUAUAUCUUUCUCUGAUAUUACAAACACAAUACAUUGGGGGCUGGAGAAAACUCAGUGGGGCUCACAACCACCUCUAAGUCCAGCUCCAGGGGAUCUGACGCCCUCUUCUGGCCUCCAUAGGCAACUUCAUGCAUGUACAAGUAUACCCAUAGAUACACACACACACAUCAAAAACCAACAACAAAAAUAAAUCCUUAACAAAUGUACAGGUAUUCUUAGAAUCGUUUCUCCUACCUAAAGCUUUGUGUUUUUUCCCUUUGUAGUUUUAAAAGAACUGGGAAGUUCUCCAUAUAGUAGGGUGAAGAAUGACCUAUUCUCUGCAAAAGAUGGUAGUAGCAUCUUAAUUUCCAGAACCAGUGUGUUUGUGGGUAAGACUUUACUAAGACCCUUAAUGUAGGAAUAUUUCCCUGGAUUGUCUCAUAGAAUCACAAAAGUUUUAAGGGGAUGUGAGAUCUGGCAAUGUAACAAUGGAGGAAAAUGACAAAGCAUUAAUGGGCAAGUAAAACAGAAUGGAAAGGAGUCAACAGUCAAGGGACGCAGGUAGCCCUAGUGCUUGAGUCAUGGGAGUGUGAUGAAGGAGACAUCCAGGAGAGUCUUCACAUUUCCAGUCCUCUUCCCAAAACUCACUGUGAAUCCCCAGUGUGAGGCUCCCAGCCAUGAUGGGUUAACGACUUAUCUUCUAGCUCAGGUCUAUCAGAAAGGUCAAUUAGUCUCUGUUUUUCAUGCUCCUCUCUCACCAUGUGGUUCCCUGCACUGUGGAGUCCCCAAUAACGAGAAGCCUCUUGCGUUGUGGCUCUCAGCUCCUAGUAUCUAGAGAUAAAUAAAGCUUUGUUCAUCAAAAAGUACCAACCCUGGGAACUGGGGAGAUGGGUUCCAUUGGUAAAGAGCUUUUCUGUAAGACCUCAGACCCCAAGUAAAAAAAGCCAGGUUUGGUGGCUAUGGUCGUAAGCAUAGUGCUGGGGAGGCAGCGAGGGACGGACCCCUAGGCUCACUGGGUGUGGGGUGGACCCCUGGGGCUCACUGGCCUGGACAGCCUAGUCUAAUUGUUGUGCUCCAGCCCAAUGAGAGACUGUCUCAAAAAGGGAGUUGGGUUGGGUGGAGAUGGCUCAUUAGUUAAAGUGACCAGAGUUCAGAUCCCUGAACCUACAUAAGUGCUGAGUGGGAGCAGUGGCUUCAUUGCAAUUCUAGCUUUGGAAUACAGAGACAGGAGAUUCCUGAAACAAGCUAGCUAGUGACACUAGGUACUUGGGUAAGCUCUGGCUUCAGUUGAGAGCCAAUGCCUCAAUGAAACAGGUGGAGAGGGGUUGAGCAAGAUUCCUCAGAUCAACUUUGGAACCCCAGCCUUGCAUGCACAUGCAAAAACACAUACACGCACAUCACACACACACACAUGUACACCAUAGAUACACACACAUGCACACCACACACACAUGUACACCACAGGUACACACAAAUGCACAUUACGUAUACACACCCAUAUGCACAUCACACACAUAUGUGAAAAUAAGGAGGGGAAAGAUGAAUGGCUCCUGAGGAACACCGCCAGCAGUUGACCUCUGACCCCCACAUACCCUAUGCACAUUCACG